GCGGACCGUACCGCAAACCGACACUGGUGGGCGAGCUGAAUAUGCUCAGGCGCUUGAGAGAACUCGGGAGAAGGAACUCGGCAAAUUGACACCGUAACUUCGGAAGAAGGUGUGCCGUAGUACCGUGAGAGGAGAGACACCUUGAGCGGGAAUCGGUCUCAGAGAAUAGGUGGCUGCGACUGUUUAUUAAAAACACAGCACUCUGCAAAGUCGAAAGACGACGUAUAGGGUGUGAUGCCUGCCCGGUGCUGGAAGAUUAAUUGAUGGGGUGAGAGCCCUUGAUCGAAGUCCCAGUAAACGGCGGCCGUAACUAUAACGGUCCUAAGGUAGCGAAAUUCCUUGUCGGGUAAGUUCCGACCUGCACGAAUGGCAUAACGAUGGCCACACUGUCUCCUCCCGAGACUCAGUGAAGUUGAAAUGUUUGUGAUGAUGCAAUCUACCCGCGGCUAGACGGAAAGACCCCAUGAACCUUUACUGCAGCUUUGCAUUGAACUGUGAACCGAUUUGUGUAGGAUAGGUGGGAGGCAGAGAAGAGGCCACGCCAGUGGUCUUGGAGCCGACCUUGAAAUACCACCCUGAUUUGUUUGCGGUUCUAACCACGGACAGUGAUCCUGUCUUGGGACCGUGCAUGGUAGGCAGUUUGACUGGGGCGGUCUCCUCCUAAAGGGUAACGGAGGAGUACGAAGGUACGCUAGGUACGGUCGGAAAUCGUGCUGAUAGUGCAAUGGCAAAAGCGUGCUUGACUGCGAGAGCAACAACUCGAGCAGAUGCGAAAGCAGGUCAUAGUGAUCCGGUGGCUCUGAAUGGAAGGGCCAUCGCUCAACGGAUAAAAGGUACUCUGGGGAUAACAGGCUGAUACCGCCCAAGAGUUCAUAUCGACGGCGGUGUUUGGCACCUCGAUGUCGGCUCAUCUCAUCCUGGGGCUGUAGUCGGUCCCAAGGGUAUGGCUGUUCGCCAUUUAAAGAGGUACGUGAGCUGGGUUUAAAACGUCGUGAGACAGUUUGGUCCCUAUCUGCCGUGGGCGUUGGAAGAUUGACGGGGGCUGCUCCUAGUACGAGAGGACCGGAGUGGACGCACCUCUGGUGUACCGGUUGUCACGCCAGUGGCAUUGCCGGGUAGCUAAGUGCGGAAGAGAUAACCGCUGAAAGCAUCUAAGCGGGAAACUUGCCUGAAGAUGAGUCUUCCCGGAGGUUGAACCUCCCUCAAGAGUCGUCCGAGACCAGGACGUCGAUAGGUCAGGUGUGUAAGCGCUGUAAGGCGUUGAGCUAACUGAUACUAAUUGCUCGUGAGGCUUGAUCCU
rnacentral:rRNA from 1 species